rnacentral:rRNA from 1 species
GUGAUCUAAAUGGUAAGAAUAUAGUAACGUACACGAAGCCAGACGAGCUAAAUCUUAUUCAUUGUAGAGAAUAUGUUUAGUGUAACAAUUACUAAAGUACUAUAAGAAUUUAGGGGUGAAAGGCCUAACAAGUCUAGCGAUAUCUUGAUUUUUAAGAAAUAUAUCUAGUAUUAAGACAAUCUAAAAAUGUUAAGGUUUUUAGAAUACAUAAUUUAAAAAGGAAUAGUAAAACUUGUUGAAUGGGUAAUACCUACAGUUAAUAAAUUAAUGAUAAUAUAAAAUAUUAUGUAAAUAUGUUUGGUAUUAGAAUAUUUAAUAUAACUUAGCGUUAAAAUAAUAAUGAUUACAUUAGUAUAUAAUUAAAUUUCUUUAAGGAACUCGGCAAAUCUUUUUCUCGACUGUUUAACAAAAACAUAGUCUUAAGAUAUUAUUUAAGGUGAACCCUGCUCAAUGAUAAGUUAAAUAGCCGCAGUACCUUGACUGUGCAAAGGUAGCAUAAUCAGUUGGCUUAUAAUUGAAGUCUGGAAUGAAUGGGAAUCCGGGAAUAAGCUGUCUUAAUUUAAGUGAGUAAAAUUUACUAAGGAAGUGAAAAUUCUUCUAAAAUAGAAAAAAGACGAGAAGACCCUAGAAAUUUUCUAAAAAUAAUUUUUGUUAUUUUAUUUUGUUGGGGCGACAAGGUAACAUAUUUAACUUACCAAGAUUUUUAAGAAACUAUUUAGUUGUAUACAUAAAUUACUCUAGGGAUAACAGCAUUAUUUAUAUAUAAGAUUGUGACCUCGAUGUUGGACUAGGGAGUACCUUACUUAAAAGGUAAGGUAGCAGGCUCUGUUCGAGCUAUAAUUCCCUACAUGAUCUGAGUUCAGACCGG